UACGUAGGGUGCAAGCGUUGCCCGGAUUUAUUGGGCGUAAAGGGCGCGCAGGCGGCCCGGCGCGUCCGCGGUGAAAGCUCCCGGCUCAACCGGGAGAGGUCCGCGGAGACGGUCGGGCUCGAGCAAGGUAGGGGUCGUGGAAUUCCCGGUGUAGUGGUGGAAUGCGUAGAGAUCGGGAGGAACACCAGUGGCGAAGGCGGCGACCUGGACCUUUUGCUGACGCUGAGGCGCGAAAGCUAGGGGAGCAAACGGGAUUAGAUACCCG
rnacentral:rRNA from 1 species